rnacentral:rRNA from 1 species
AUGUCAGCAGCCGCGGUAAUACGUAGGGUGCAAGCGUUAAUCGGAAUUACUGGGCGUAAAGCGUGCGCAGGCGGUUUUGUAAGACAGAGGUGAAAUCCCCGGGCUCAACCUGGGAACUGCCUUUGUGACUGCAAGGCUGGAGUGCGGCAGAGGGGGAUGGAAUUCCGCGUGUAGCAGUGAAAUGCGUAGAUAUGCGGAGGAACACCGAUGGCGAAGGCAAUCCCCUGGGCCUGUACUGACGCUCAUGCACGAAAGCGUGGGGAGCAAACAGGAUUAGAUCCCCUGGUAGUCCACGCCCUAAACGCUGUCACCUGGUUGUUGGGUCUUCACUGACUCAGUACCGAAGCUAACGCGUGAAGUUGACCGCCUGGGGAGUACGGCCGCAAGGUUGAAACUCAAAGGAAUUGGCGG